CAUAAAGAUUUGCCACUGGUUUUUUUAUUAGAUUUUCUAUAUUCUUCUAUGUCGUUCUCUCUAACCAAUUCCGGACUCACUUUGUAGUUUUGGGUUCCAUAAUUCCAUUUAAGUCUUUUUCGGUGGUUUUUCUCUACAGUGAGGGUGACUAAAAUGGUGAAGGAUGUCAUACUAGAGGCUGAUGGGUGAUGGUGAUGCUAGGUGUCUUCCAGAAAUGAACUCAGAGCAGAAUCCCAAAAUGCUGCCACAUUUGAGAUGACGCUAUGACCGCAUACAUGGAGAUUAAAAAUUCGAAAAUAGAUAUAGCCUUUCAAAAGACAAAAAAAGUUCUUAGUGUAAUUCCUCUUAUCCCUUGAAGCUCCAUGUCCAUAGUAAUCAAUUGCUUAUCUUUUAAGUAAUGUAAGACAUCUGGGUCACUGGCUGCGUGAUUGGAAUGAUAAGAUCAAUUUCAUCACACAAGCAGACUUUCAUUUUCUUAGGAAACAUCGAAUAAAAUAGUGAGCAUUCAUGUUGGGUGGUGGAUUUCCCAAGAUCCAAUUCAACAGUUCCUU